rnacentral:rRNA from 1 species
UACGUAGGGUGCAAGCGUUAAUCGGAAUUACUGGGCGUAAAGCGUGCGCAGGCGGUUGUGCAAGACAGAUGUGAAAUCCCCGGGCUCAACCUGGGAAUUGCAUUUGUGACUGCACGGCUAGAGUGUGUCAGAGGGGGGUAGAAUUCCACGUGUAGCAGUGAAAUGCGUAGAUAUGUGGAGGAAUACCGAUGGCGAAGGCAGCCCCCUGGGAUAACACUGACGCUCAUGCACGGAAAGCGUGGGGAGCAAACAGG